GAUGAACGCUGGCGGCGUGCCUAAUACAUGCAAGUCGAGCGAACAGAUAAGGAGCUUGCUCCUUUGACGUUAGCGGCGGACGGGUGAGUAACACGUGGGUAACCUACCUAUAAGACUGGGAUAACCUCGGGAAACCGGAGCUAAUACCGGAUAAUAUUUCGAACCGCAUGGUUCGAUAGUGGAAGAUGGUUUUGCUAUCACUUAUAGAUGGACCCGCGCCGUAUUAGCUAGUUGGUAAGGUAACGGCUUACCAAGGCGACGAUACGUAGCCGACCUGAGAGGGUGAUCGGCCACACUGGAACUGAGACACGGUCCAGACUCCUACGGGAGGCAGCAGUAGGGAAUCUUCCGCAAUGGGCGAAAGCCUGACGGAGCAACGCCGCGUGAGUGAUGAAGGUCUUCGGAUCGUAAAACUCUGUUAUUAGGGAAGAACAUACGUGUAAGUAACUGUGCACGUCUUGACGGUACCUAAUCAGAAAGCCACGGCUAACUACGUG
rnacentral:rRNA from 1 species